CGCCUUGCCAGCCCGCUCAGAACUUAACGGAAUUCGACGGGGCCCGCACAAGCGUGGAGCAUGUGGUUAAUUCGAUGAUACGCGAGGAACCUUACCUGGGCUCAAAUGUAUGUUGACGUAUUCUGAAAGGGAUACUUCUUCGGACAAUAUACAAGGUGCUGCAUGGUUGUCGUCAGCUCGUGCCGUGAGGUGUCGGGUUAAGUCCCAUAACGAGCGCAACCCCUAUCAUUAGUUGCCAUCAGGUCAAGCUGGGGACUCUAAAGGAACUGCCUACGCAAGUAGUGAGGAAGGCGGGGAUGACGUCAAAUCAGCACGGCCCUUACGUCCAGGGCUACACACGUGCUACAAUGGCCGAUACAGAGGGCAGCUACCUGGUGACAGGAUGCAAAUCUCCAAAGUCGGUCUCAGUUCGGAUCGGAGUCUGCAACCCGACUCCGUGAAGUUGGAUUCGCUAGUAAUCGUGAAAUCAGAAUGUCACGGUGAAUACGUUCCCGGGCCUU
rnacentral:rRNA from 1 species